ensembl:lncRNA
CGCAGGUACACCCGUGGUGGAUUCAUGUCAAUGUAUGGCAAAACCAGUACAGUAUUGUAAAGUAAAAUAAAGUAAAAAUAAAAAUUUUUUAAAAUGUCAUUUAAUGUUCAGCCCUCUGUCUCAAAAAAACUUACAAACUAAGUCGACUUCUAACUGGUAAAACAGUUUUUGGCACUUUCUCAGAUGCUCUUUCUGGGUUGUAAGUCUCAAAUUUGGCUCAAAAAAUUUCCAAUUGAUUAAUCAGUUCAUUAAUUAAUUUUUCACUAGCAAGAAUGAAAUAUUUAUGUUAAAUAGGAAAAUUUAAAAGUGGGUGGAAAAAAGUUACAGAAUAUGAACAAUACAGAACAGUACAAUUUUAUUUGUGUAAAUAAUAAGACAUGCUAGAUAUCUCUAGGUCAUACGUGUAAAUUAACAUGAGAAGAUCUUGAAGGAAACAUUUCUCACUAAUCACAGCAGUCACUUCUGGAGAGAAUAGGUAGAGAUUGAUGGGUUUUAGUUUUAUAUGUAAAUGUAUUUUUCAUAGUAAGAAUGUACUCAUAGUUUACUUAAAAGUUAAAACAAAAAAUUUUAGUAAAUAGAUUAAAAAGAUGAGGAAGCAGGGUCUGUAGAUCUCAUGCAAAAAUUUCUCUAAAGGCAAGCUGAGAGACCCAGCUAAUGCGUUAUUGACCAGAGACAUUUCAAUAUUCAUGUACACAACAAAUUGCUGGACACAGGUGUUAGUUUCUGCAAAAAUCCUCCAGUCAAUAAUGUGUUAAUAGACAUUUUGUGUAUAAGACAGUUGGUUGCUAGUAUGCAAAUGGAAAUGAUGCCAAAGUAGAGAUCAAUUUUAUGGGAAAAAGGAUAACUGAGAAAGGGAAUUCCUUGUGUAGUCAAGAAAGAACUGGGGAAGGUGUGGAGCUUUCAGAAGACAAGAUGGGAGAGUUGGACAACCCUGAGUUCACUUCCUCUCAUGGGUACACCAAAAUCACAACUAACUGCUGAACAACUAUUGAUGAAAAAGAUUGAAAUUUACCUUAAAAAGAUAUUCUACAUGCAAAGACAUAAAGAAGAAACCAUGAGACAGUAGUAGAAAGUUGCAAUAUAACCAGAUCCCACACUGUCCAGGUGGGUGAUCCAUGAUCUGGGGGAUUACCAUAAAAUAGACCUUCUCCCACAGAAGUGAGAGCUGCACUUCUCUGGUGGUGCAGUGGGUAAGAGUUUGAUCCCUGGUCUGGGAAGAUUCCACAUGCUGCAGAGCAACUGAGCCUGUGCACCUUAGAGGCUGCAAGCUCCAACUAAUGAAACCCAUGCACCUAGAGUUUGUGCCCCACAAUAAAAGAAGCCACUGCAAGGAGAAGCCCACUGACAGCAACUAGAGAAAGCUCUCAUGCAGCAAGAAGGCCAAGUACAGCCAUAAACAAACAAUGUUUUUUAAAAAAAUCAGUGAGAGCUCUGAGUCCCACACCAGGCUGCCCAGCCUAGAAGUCUGGCAUCAGGAGAAGGAGCCCCCAGAACCUUUGGCAUUGAAGGCCAGCAGGACUUGCAGGAGAUGCACAGGACUGGAAGAAACAGACUCCUCUCUUGGAGGACACACACAGUCUCACAUACACCAGGUUCCGGGACAAAAGCAGCAGCUCCAUAGGAGCCUGG